rnacentral:rRNA from 1 species
UGCGUAGGCGGGUCUUUAAGUCAGAGGUGAAAUCCUGGAGCUCAACUCCAGAACUGCCUUUGAUACUGAGGGUCUUGAGUUCGAGAGAGGUGAGUGGAACUGCGAGUGUAGAGGUGAAAUUCGUAGAUAUUCGCAAGAACACCAGUGGCGAAGGCGGCUCACUGGCUCGAUACUGACGCUGAGGCACGAAAGGCGUGGGGAGCAAACA